CAUGCAAGUCGAACGAGAGAUGAGGAGCUUGCUCUUCAAAUCGAGUGGCGAACGGGUGAGUAACGCGUGAGGAACCUGCCUCAAAGAGGGGGACAACAGUUGGAAACGACUGCUAAUACCGCAUAAGCCCACGGCUCGGCAUCGAGCAGAGGGAAAAGGAGCAAUCCGCUUUGAGAUGGCCUCGCGUCCGAUUAGCUAGUUGGUGAGGUAAUGGCCCACCAAGGCGACGAUCGGUAGCCGGACUGAGAGGUUGAACGGCCACAUUGGGACUGAGACACGGCCCAGACUCCUACGGGAGGCAGCAGUGGGGAAUAUUGCACAAUGGGGGAAACCCUGAUGCAGCGACGCCGCGUGGAGGAAGAAGGUCUUCGGAUUGUAAACUCCUGUUGCUGAGGAAGAUAAUGACGGUACUCAACAAGGAAGUGACGGCUAACUACGUGCCAGCAGCCGCGGUAAAACGUAGGUCACAAGCGUUGUCCGGAAUUACUGGGUGUAAAGGGAGCGCAGGCGGGAGAACAAGUUGGAAGUGAAAUCCAUGGGCUCAACCCAUGAACUGCUUUCAAAACUGUUUUUCUUGAGUAGUGCAGAGGUAGGCGGAAUUCCCGGUGUAGCGGUGGAAUGCGUAGAUAUCGGGAGGAACACCAGUGGCGAAGGCGGCCUACUGGGCACCAACUGACGCUGAGGCUCGAAAGUGUGGGUAGCAAACAGGAUUAGAUACCCUGGUAGUCCACACCGUAAACGGUGAUUACUAGGUGUUGGGGGAUUGACCCCUUCAGUGCCGCAGUUAACACAAUAAGUAAUCCACCUGGGGAGUACGACCGCA
rnacentral:rRNA from 1 species